AAAACCUUAAGUUAAACUUAAACUAAUAACCUUCAAAGUUAUAAAUAUAUAAUAUUAAUAUAGGUUUUA
rnacentral:tRNA from 1 species